ACAUGCCCUAUAGAGGGGGAUAGCCACUGGAAACGGUGAUUAAUACCCCAUACUCCUUCUAAAUAAAAGUUUAGUUGGGAAAUGUUUUUUCGCUAUAGGAUUGGGCUAUAUUGUAUCAGCUAGUUGGUGAGGUAAGAGCUCACCAAGGCAAUGACGCAUAGCGGGUCUGAGAGGAUGAUCCGCCACACUGGUACUGAGACACGGACCAGACUCCUACGGGAGGCAGCAGUGGGGAAUAUUGCACAAUGGGCGAAAGCCUGAUGCAGCAACGCCGCGUGGAGGAUGACGCAUUUCGGUGUGUAAACUCCUUUUAUAUGGGAAGAUAAUGACGGUACCAUAUGAAUAAGCACCGGCUAACUCCGUGCCAGCAGCCGCGGUAAUACGGAGGGUGCAAGCGUUACUCGGAAUCACUGGGCGUAAAGCGCGCGCAGGCGGACUAAUAAGCUAGAAGUGAAAUGCUGUGGCUCAACCAUAGAACUGCUUCUAGAACUGUUAGUCUAGAGUCUGGGAGGGGAAGGUGGAAUUAGUUGUGUAGGGGUAAAAUCCGUAGAGAUAACUAGGAAUACCAAAAGCGAAGGCGAUCUUCUGGAACAGUACUGACGCUGAGGCGCGAAAGCGUGGGGAGCAAACAGGAUUAGAUACCCUGGUAGUCCACGCCCUAAACGAUGAAUGUUAGUCGUUGGAGUGCUAGUCACUUCAGUGAUGCAGUUAACACAUUAAACAUUUCGCCUGGGGAGUACGGUCGCAAGAUUAAAACUCAAAGGAAUAGACGGGGACCCGCACAAGUGGUGGAGCAUGUGGUUUAAUUCGAAGAUACGCGAAGAACCUUACCUAGCCUUGACAUUGAGAGAACACUUUAGAGAUAGAGUGGUGCCCUUUUGGGAGCUUGAAAACAGGUGCUGCACGGCUGUCGUCAGCUCGUGUCGUGAGAUGUUGGGUUAAGUCCCGCAACGAGCGCAACCCUCGUGACUAGUUACUAACGGUUUGGCCGAGGACUCUAGUCAGACUGCCCUCGCAAGGAGGAGGAAGGUGAGGACGACGUCAAGUCAUCAUGGCCCUUACGGCUAGGGCGACACACGUGCUACAAUGGGUAGGACAAUGAGAAGCGAUACCGCGAGGUGGAGCAAAUCUAUAAACCUACUCUCAGUUCGGAUAGCAGUCUGCAACUCGACUGCUUGAAGCUGGAACCACUAGUAAUCGUAGAUCAGCCAUGCUACGGUGAAUACGUUCCCGGGUCUUGUACUCACCGCCCGUCACACCAUGGGAGUUGA
rnacentral:rRNA from 1 species